UUUAAAGAGAGUUUGAUCCUGGCUCAGGACGAACGCUGGCGGCGUGCCUAAUACAUGCAAGUCGAACGAACGGAGGAAGAGCUUGCUCUUCCAAAGUUAGUGGCGGACGGGUGAGUAACACGUGGGCAACCUGCCUGUAAGUUGGGGAUAACUCCGGGAAACCGGGGCUAAUACCGAAUGAUAAAGUGUGGCGCAUGCCACGCUUUUGAAAGAUGGUUUCGGCUAUCGCUUACAGAUGGGCCCGCGGUGCAUUAGCUAGUUGGUAGGGUAAUGGCCUACCAAGGCAACGAUGCAUAGCCGACCUGAGAGGGUGAUCGGCCACACUGGGACUGAGACACGGCCCAGACUCCUACGGGAGGCAGCAGUAGG
rnacentral:rRNA from 1 species